UACGGAGGGUGCAAACGUUGCUCGGAAUUAUUGGGCGUAAAGGGCGCGUAGGCGGCGCGAUAAGUCAAAGGUGAAAUCCCUCGGCUCAACUGAGGAACUGCCUUUGAAACUGUCGUGCUUGAGGCCGGGAGGGGGUAGCGGAAUUCCCAGUGUAGCGGUGAAAUGCGUAGAUAUUGGGAGGAACACCAGUGGCGAAGGCGGCUACCUGGACCGGUUCUGACGCUGAUGCGCGAAAGCGUGGGUAGCAAACAGG
rnacentral:rRNA from 1 species